rnacentral:tRNA from 1 species
GCCCUUGUGGCACAAUGGUUAAGUGCUCAGCUGCUAACCAAAAGAUUGGUGGUUUGAACCCACCCAGGGGCU